UAGGGAAUCUUCCGCAAUGGACGCAAGUCUGACGGAGCAACGCCGCGUGAGUGAAGAAGGAUUUCGGUUCGUAAAACUCUGUUGUUAGAGAAGAACAGCGCAUAGAGUAACUGUUAUGCGUGUGACGGUAUCUAACCAGAAAGCCACGGCUAACUACGUGCCAGCAGCCGCGGUAAUACGUAGGUGGCAAGCGUUGUCCGGAUUUAUUGGGCGUAAAGCGAGCGCAGGCGGUCAAUUAAGUCUGAUGUGAAAGCCCCCGGCUCAACCGGGGAGGGUCAUUGGAAACUGGUUGACUUGAGUGCAGAAGAGGAGUGUUGAAUUCCAUGUGUAGCGCUGAAAUGCGUAUAUAUAUGGAGGAACACCAGUGGCGAAGGCGACUCUCUGGUCUGUAACUGACGCUGAGGCUCGAAAGCGUGGGUAGCAAACAGG
rnacentral:rRNA from 1 species